UCGAGAAUCUUCGGCAAUGGGCGCAAGCCUGACCGAGCGACGCCGCGUGCGGGAUGAAGGCCUUCGGGUUGUAAACCGCUGUCGUAGGGGAGGAAGAUCCUGUGAAGAACAGGGUUUGACCGAUCCUAGGAGGAAGGGCCGGCUAAUCUCGUGCCAGCAGCCGCGGUAAUACGAGAGGCCCAAACAUUAUUCGGAAUUACUGGGCUUAAAGAGUUCGUAGGCGGCGUGGUAAGUAGGGUGUGAAAGCCCUCGGCUUAACCGAGGAAUUGCGCUCUAAACUACCGUGCUAGAGGAAGCUAGAGGUGAGCGGAACUGAUGGUGGAGCGGUGAAAUGCGUUGAUAUCAUCAGGAACACCGGAGGCGAAGGCGGCUCACUGGGGCUUUUCUGACGCUGAGGAACGAAAGCCAGGGUAGCGAACGG
rnacentral:rRNA from 1 species